rnacentral:sRNA from 1 species
GCGAGCCGCCGGGGACUACUGAACUUCAUGCCUGAGAGUGAUGCAGUCUGAGUCUGAAUAUAAAAUCAGUCAAAACUUUCAACAAUGGAUCUCUUGGUUCCGGCAUCGAUGAAGAACGCAGCGAACUGCGAUAAGUAAUGUGAAUUGCAGAAUUCAGUGAAUCAUCGAGUCUUUGAACGCACAUUGCGCCCCCUGGCAUUCCGGGGGGCAUGCCUGUCCGAGCGUCAUUGCUGCCCAUCAAGCCCGGCUUGUGUGUUGGGUCGUCGUCCCCCCCGGGGGACGGGCCCGAAAGGCAGCGGCGGCACCGUGUCCGGUCCUCGAGCGUAUGGGGCUUUGUCACCCGCUCGACUAGGGCCGGCCGGGCGCCAGCCGACGUCUCCAACCAUUUUUCUUCAGGUUGACCUCGGAUCAGGUAGGGAUACCCGCUGAACUUAAGCAUAUCAAUAAGCGGAGGAAAAGAAACCAACCGGGAUUGCCUCAGUAACGGCGAGUGAAGCGGCAAGAGCUCAAAUUUGAAAUCUGGCCCCUCCGGGGUCCGAGUUGUAAUUUGCAGAGGAUGCUUCGGGUGCGGCCCCUGUCUAAGUGCCCUGGAACGGGCCGUCAGAGAGGGUGAGAAUCCCGUCUUGGGCAGGGUGCCCGUGCCCGUGUGAAGCUCCUUCGACGAGUCGAGUUGUUUGGGAAUGCAGCUCAAAAUGGGUGGUAAAUUUCAUCUAAAGCUAAAUACCGGCCGGAGACCGAUAGCGCACAAGUAGAGUGAUCGAAAGAUGAAAAGCACUUUGAAAAGAGAGUUAAACAGCACGUGAAAUUGUUGAAAGGGAAGCGCUUG